rnacentral:misc_RNA from 1 species
UGUGAUUUGACACUUCGCGCGUUAAUUUUUUUUAAGAGCGCGUAUUUCUAUUUCUUCUUAUCUAAAACGGUAAUUUAUAUUUGUAAAUCAUUUAAAAAUUAGCAAAAUGGAAAGUAAUACCUGUGUUAUAAAUUGGUACAAUAAAUAACCUAUAAAAUGUGUGAAAUUGCAACGCCAAAUGGAGCUAUUUCGGAAGUUAAAUUUCUUUGGGUAAAGACACUAAUUCAACAGGCAUUCAAAUCUUGCUAUGUACUUCUACAAAUUUUUAAUAUUUGUAGGAACUGGAAUGGAUCUCAGAACAAUUGCAGAAACUUACUGAUCAUCGAGUGUCCUUUGCGGUGCACAAACUGCAGAAUAUGUACAUUAAUAGCUAGACCUAGAGCCAAAUGACGUACAACGCAAAAACGAAAAUUUUUGGGAGGAUAAAUGUUCACCUUAUCCUAAAAUUACUAAAAUACUGCACUUCACAAUAUAAUUUUCAUCAUCAGAAAGCUACUAAUAUAUGCAAAUAAAUUGUAUAUUUUGUAAAUAUAGUUAUUAUU